UAUAGAGACCAAAGGAAGGGUUGUGACCCUUUAUUUUUUUCAUUCCACUUAAAAGACACAACUUUAAACCAAAUCACACUUUUAUAAAAAAAAUUAUAGACUUAAUUACUCACCUUUCUAAUAAUAUAUCUCAUACUAAGGGAAUCAUUUCAAAAAAUUACACUUUUAGUUUAAUAGUAGGGCAUUAUUUAAAUGCCCUUUAUGGGUAUUUGAAUGCCAUAUAUGCCAAAUGGUAGUAUUCAUAUGCUUUUCAUAGGUAUUUAGCGAUGCUCUUAUCAUGUUAUUGCUGAAAAGAAAAACCGAAUUCCUCUAUUUCAUUCGAUUCAUCCACACUUCCAUUCCUUGUAGAGGAA
rnacentral:lncRNA from 1 species